GUGGCUGUAGCUCAGCGGUAGAGCGCCGGUUUGUGGCACCGGAGGACGAGGGGUCAGCACCCUCCAGUCACCCCA
rnacentral:tRNA from 2 species